CCCGUGGCAUAUGGAGGUUCCCAGGCUGGGGGUCAAGUCGGAGCUGUAGCUGCCGAUCUACACCACAGCCACAGCAACACAGGAUCUGAGCCGCAUCUGUGACCUACACCACAGCUCAUGGCCACACCAGAUCCUUAACCCGCUGAUCGAAGCCAGGGAUUGAACCUACGUCCUCAUGGAUGCUAGUCAGAUUCGUUUCCACUGAGCCACAACAGGAAUUCCCUGGAUAUACUUUUUUAAAGGGGGAUUCUUUCUAGGGUUUAUAUUGAGAUAUGCCUCAACCUGAACCCUAGGAGCCACAAAAGCUGUGAUGUUCUGUCACUUACUUGCAAGAAGGCCCUGGGGUCUCCUGAAUGCUGAAGACGAAGAAGAGGGCAGCAGCAAACACUCGGUGCUAACUGUGUGCACUGACCAAGCCAAUCCCAACGAUCCCACAAGGCAGGUGUGAAGAUUGGCCUCAUUGUACAGAUUAGGAAAACGAAGCCCAGAGCGGUGGAGUCACUUGCCCAAGGUCACACAGCAUAGAGUGGAAGAGCCGGGAUUCGCGGCCCGGCUGGGAAUAAAUUCAGAAGGGAAGGAAGUCUAUCCAGACUUCAAGAACAAGGAAACCCAGAAGUGGUUGUCGAGGGGGUCCCUCUGAACCCCUCUUCAAGUAUCACGAGGGACCCUUGUCACCCUCGUGGCCUUGGCAGCUCCUUCCAGCCUGCAGACCUGAUGGGAAACAGCAGGACCGCGCUCGGCCAGGUACAGAGGUGCCCGGGAGGGCAGUGAUGCUGGGCCCCCAAAGCCGGCCUGGCCCCCACAGCUGCUGCCGGAAGCAGAGAGAGCUGGGCAGCGCUGAGCCUCCUGGUGCCAGAAGGGAACAGAGUGAUGGAGGAGACUGGCAUGCAGCCAAGCUUGCUGGUGCGGGCACACCUGCCAAGGUGGGCUCUAGGGGCAGCCUGGGAACCGUGGGGAGUAAGGGCCUGUCCUCAUCAAAACUAGAAAAGUGCAGACGUUUCCCCGACAGGGAAGGACGCCUGGGGAAAGUUCCAGAACCAGGGACCUGCACUAUCCUUCUGGGUGGAAUAGCCACCCUGUGAUGAGGGGGUGGCUGGAGCCCUGAGCUGGUUCUGACUCCACUCUGAACACCUGGGGGCCCCAGGUGAGCCCCAGGGCUCCUGUCUGGCUUCAGUUCCCUCAUCUCUGCAACGGGAGCAAAGCAAGCCCAGCCGCCGGGGUAUCCGGGCAAACCCGACACCAGCAUCCUGGCACAGGGCAACUGCGGUCCUUGACCGCGGCGCCCCGGCUCUCUCGGGAUUUUCUAAAAGAGGGUUAUGUUUUCACACACACACACACACACACACACACACACGUUGUGGUUAAGCCAAGAACUGAAUUCUCGGCCAAGGAAAUCAAAUUAAAAAACCCCAGGGGAAGGUGAUUGAGAGGCACUGACAAGCCUCUCUAAUACCUUCUCUGAAACUCGGUCUGCACAGCGACACCCAGACUCUCGUGCUUUAGAGGCUUUUCAGCAGGAUUUGAGCCUCUGCGUGCAGGCAGCAUGCGUGCGGUGACAUCGCCCUGCCCCGUAUUGACUGGACACGUCGGGGACACACAGCAAUGCCCAGGAGAGCAGGGGGCAUCUUUCUCAGCUGACUUUUUUUUUUUUUUUUUUUUUGGCGCCACAUCUGCGUCACGUGGAAGUUCCCGGGUCAGGGAUCAAACCUGCGCCAGAUCAGCGACCCAAGCGCUACAGUGAUAACCCCAGAUUCUUCACCUGCUGGGCCACAGGAGAACGCCUCAGCUGACUCUCCCUGCCUCACUUGCGCUCUCUUUUUAACCCAAAAGGAUAUAUUCCAUAUAGCGACACAGAAUACUACCAUACACGCUGAAGAACUAUCUUGGGUGGAAUAUUUUGCGAUUCAGAACCUUUUGGUCAAAAACUAUCCGUUGACUCUUGGUGAUUCUGCCUGCGAGGAGCCGCCUGAAGGAGGGGAGGUGGUUUGAAAUGGGAAGUAAGAAAUGCAGGGGCUGGGGGACAAUUUGGGGAGGAAGCUUCUUGCACCCCCGCCCCCCAACACCUUGCUCUUGGCUUUUGGUUCUGCCCUUUGUUACGGCACAGCUUUACAGUGCAUUAAAAUCCCACGGCGGGAGGGACUUCUCGCCCACGAGCCAUGUUUAUUUCCGCUUUGCAGGUGUGGAAACUGAGAUCCAGAAAGGGCAAGCCCCCUUGCCCAGGAUGACGCAGCCAGCUAGCGGCAGUGUCACUUCCAAAGGUCUGUGCCUGGCUCCUAAAGCCGUCCGCCCCUCCCCCAGGCUCGGGGGCUAAAAGCAAACAGCUGGGAUGAAGCCUGCCUUGAAAUAAAUAGGUGCCAGCACCCAGCCUCCCCAAGUCCUGAAGAUUUCAGAGACACUGGUGAAGUUGCCCCAAGGAAAAACAACCAACCAACCCCCGGACAUCUACCAGAAAUGAUCUGGUGCUUAAAUGUGGCUUUGAUGGUGUGCUGGGUUCUGCAUUCAUGAAACAGGGCAUAGGCCUGAUAGGCCGGCUGGGAGCGGGGCUGUGUCUGCUCUCACACCUGCACGGGGCCGGGCCGAGGAGGUGAUGGUGGGUCUCCCGGGGUGUGAAAGUAAACAGGGGGUGUUCUCUUUGCACGGUUCCUCACUUAAUUACACCAAUAAGAACUUGAAAGCAAGCCUAGCCACGGAGAAUCGGUGAUACCGAUGUAAUCUAAAUACAGAAACUGGAAGGUCUCUAGCAGCUCGCUCUAAAUAUUUAACUAAGCCCACCAGCCUCCCAGGAACUGGGCUCCACAGCUGCGUAACAAAGGCUGUUGUGGCAAUUCAUUAGCUACAUUUUUAAACGUAGGAACUCAAGGAUAUCACAGAUUU
rnacentral:lncRNA from 1 species